rnacentral:rRNA from 1 species
AACGAACGCUGGCGGCAGGCCUAACACAUGCAAGUCGAGCGAGGACUUCGGUUCUAGCGGCGGACGGGUGAGUAACGCGUGGGAAUGUGCCCUUCUCUACGGAAUAGCCCUGGGAAACUGGGAGUAAUACCGUAUACGCCCUAUUGGGGAAAGAUUUAUCGGAGAAGGAUCAGCCCGCGUUGGAUUAGGUAGUUGGUGGGGUAAUGGCCUACCAAGCCGACGAUCCAUAGCUGGUUUGAGAGGAUGAUCAGCCACACUGGGACUGAGACACGGCCCAGACUCCUACGGGAGGCAGCAGUGGGGAAUCUUAGACAAUGGGGGCAACCCUGAUCUAGCCAUGCCGCGUGAGUGAUGAAGGCCUUAGGGUUGUAAAGCUCUUUCAGCUGGGAAGAUAAUGACGGUACCAGCAGAAGAAGCCCCGACUAACUCCGUG